GUGAAACUAAAAUCUUCUUCAUCUGUGUUUGUCAGUGUAGAUUUAAAUGAGAUCAGAUUGAACUUUAUUCUCAUUAAACUGUUCAGAACAACGCGACUAAAUCCAGUUUAACCAGGAGAGCAGUAACACGACGUUUACAGCCUAGAGAAGUGUGUCUGCAAACCAAGAUAUUAAUACAUGUAUAUUUACACAUUAAUGAAGCUGCUCCUGUGAAUAAUUUCAUUAAUUAGAUUAUAUAACAUUUAACUGAACACCACUAACGGGUGAGAGUUCAUUAGAGUGACCGCUAAAGGGAAUUAAAGGAGAGGAAAUGUGAUUUUUUAAAAUACAAGACAGACCGAGUUUUUAUAUUUAGAGUCUUUAUAAAGAAAAUAAUAAAGUGAGUUUAUACAUGAAUAUUUAACUGAGAUUCUCCGACUUUAACAGCAAAACAGUUUCAGGAUUUGAUGCAGAUAAAAUUAGAAUAUGAACAGCUGUUACAGAAGCAAAUCUGAUGUCAAUAAAAGGUCAUUUUUUAAUGUAAAUAUGAGGUUAUAAACAGAUCGAUGGAGGUUAGGGUGGAUGUCUCUGUGGAGGUUCGGGUGGAUGUCUCUGUGGAGGUUAGGGUGGAUGUCUCUGUGGACGUUCGGGUGGAUGUCUCUGUGGAGGUUCGGGUGGAUGUCUCUGAGGAGGUUAGGGUGGAUGUCUCUGAGGAGGUUAGGGUGGAUGUCUCUGAGGUUUAACAAGAAAAUGUUAAAUUUAGUCACAAAAAUUAAACUCCUGAACUGAUUUUAUGGAAUAAAAACAUGUUUUUUUUUUGUCGUCUAUAUGUGAGUUAAUUCCUCCUGGAGGCGUUUAGAGAAGAACUUUAUCUUCAUACUGUACGGUCCUCCACCCUCCUCUUCCUCCACCCUCCUCUUCCUCUCCAUCCAGCUGCUCACAGAGGAAACCCGGACUGUCAUUUAAGACCAGAAAAACUACAGUUUUCUUCUUCUACCAGUUUUUUUUUUCUGCAUCUGUGAACAGAAGUACAGAUUUACACGUGAGGCUAUUGUUAUAUAUUUUUUUAAUUAUUAUUUAUUUACUGUUAUAAUUUUUUAAUUAUUUUGUAUUUACUGUUAUAAUUUUUUUUAUUAUUUUGUAUUUACUGUUAUAAUUUUUUAAUAAUUUUGUAUUUAUUUUUAAUAAUAGAAUUAUGUUAAUAUUAUUAUCAAACUGCACCAGUAUUAUCAGAC